rnacentral:ncRNA from 1 species
GUCUUUGUGGCGGGGUGUAAGUCCCUACCGAUGGUAAAGUCCAUGACCCGCAAAAUUCGCGGCUGAUCUGGUGUGAUUCCAGAACCGACGGUAAUAGUCCGGAUGAGAAAAGAC